GACUAAUACGAAAGGGUAAACUCACAUCCUUAUUACUUCCACUCCAUUCCUGCCAAUCCCCUAUAGGCAACUACUUGUUUUUGGUUUAUUCUUCCUGUAUCUCUCUUUCUAAUGAGUGAAGUUGAACAUCUUUCUGUAUUUUAAGGUCCAUCUACAUAUUUUUGUAUCUGUGUGUAUGAACUGUUUGUUCACGCCUUUUGCCUAAUUUUCUAUCAAGUUUUGGCCUUUUCCCCUCAAUAUUUAAAAGUUCAUUACAUUCCUAAUAUUACAGAUUAACCUGUUUCUGUGAAAAUGUUGCAAAUAUUUCUCACAAUGUGCCAAUUUUCUUGCCAUGCAGCAGGUUUUUUUAAAGUUGUUGAAUUUAUUAAUACUUUAUUUUAUGCCGUUGGAGUAUUUUAUUUUUCAUUAGCAAAGCAUUCAUUUUGGUGUCAGGCUGAGCUUGGACUGGGUUUCCAUGCCUCUCUUAAAAUUUUUAUUUGAAAAAAAAACUACUUUUUUAUUUUAUUUUAUUUUUUGAGACAAGGUCUUCCACUCUGGCCCAGGCUGGAGUGCAGUGGUGUGAUCUUGGCUCACU
rnacentral:lncRNA from 10 species